rnacentral:rRNA from 1 species
GUGAGGAAUUUUCCGCAAUGGGCGAAAGCCUGACGGAGCAAUGCCGCGUGAAGGAUGAAGGCCUAUGGGUUAUAAACUUCUUUUCUCAGAAAAGAAUUAUGACGGUAUCUGAGGAAUAAGCAUCGGCUAACUCUGUGCCAGCAGCCGCGGUAAGACAGAGGAUGCAAGCGUUAUCCGGAAUGAUUGGGCGUAAAGCGUCUGUAGGUUGUUUAAAAAGUAUUCUGUCAAAGAUUAGGGCUUAACCCUAGAUAGGCAGAAUAAACUUUUAAGCUAGAGUUUGGUAGAGGCAGAGGGAAUUCCCGGUGGAGCGGUGAAAUGCGUAGAUAUCGGGAGGAACACCAAAGGCGAAGGCACUCUGCUGGGCCAAUACUAACACUGAGAGACGAAAGCGAGGGGAGCAAAUGGGAUUAGAUACCCCUGUAGUCC